AGAUUGAACGCUGGCGGCGUGCCUAACACAUGCAAGUCGAGCGGUAACAGGUGUAGCAAUACAUGCUGACGAGCGGCGAACGGGUGAGUAAUGCUUUGGAAUCUUCCCAGUAGUGGGGAACAACCAGUCGAAAGAUUGGCUAAUACCGCAUACGUCUGUGAAGAGAAAGCGGGGGAUCGUAAGACCUCGCGCUAUUGGAUGAGCCAAAGUCGGAUUAGCUAGUUGGUGAGGUAAUGGCUCACCAAGGCGACAAUCCGUAGC
rnacentral:rRNA from 1 species